rnacentral:rRNA from 1 species
AGUGAACGCUGGCGGUAGGCCUAACACAUGCAAGUCGAACGGCAGCGCAGUAAGAGCUUGCUCUUACGGGUGGCGAGUGGCGGACGGGUGAGGAAUACAUCGGAAUCUACUUUUUCGUGGGGGAUAACGUAGGGAAACUUACGCUAAUACCGCAUACGACCUACGGGUGAAAGCAGGGGAUCUUCGGACCUUGCGCGAUUGAAUGAGCCGAUGUCGGAUUAGCUAGUUGGCGGGGUAAAGGCCCACCAAGGCGACGAUCCGUAGCUGGUCUGAGAGGAUGAUCAGCCACACUGGAACUGAGACACGGUCCAGACUCCUACGGGAGGCAGCAGUGGGGAAUAUUGGACAAUGGGCGCAAGCCUGAUCCAGCCAUACCACGUGGGUGAAGAAGGCCUUCGGGUUGUAAAGCCCUUUUGUUGGGAAAGAAAAGCAGCAGGUUAAUACCCCGCUGUUCUGACGGUACCCAAAGAAUAAGCACCGGCUAACUUCGUG